rnacentral:lncRNA from 1 species
CCCUCACUCAUGCACUGUGACAGAAAACAGUAAGAGAGGCACCAGGAAGAGAAAAUGUGUCAAAUUCCCCCAGCCUCCUAGAGAAGGAAGACUGUCACUAUUGAUAAUAGCAUGUUUUACAAUGUGAUUCAUUUGGGAAAAGUUUAAAAUGAAAAAACUCUGUGUCAGGACUAGAAAUACGAUGAUGCACACACUCCCAGCCUUCGUGGAGCUCACAGUUGGCUGAUGGAGAACAACAUUAAACAAGCAAUAACAGUAAAGUAAGAGAAAAGAGAAGAUACUGCAUCCAAGAAAAAAGAACAGACUCAAACAGAAAAGGAAUAUUCAAAAGCCAAAAUGGAAUUCUUAGAAAUUAAAAACAACAGAAAUGAGAAACUCAACAGUAAAUCUCUCAGAAAGUCAAGCAAAAAGACAAAGAGAUAGAAAAAUUGGAGGGAAAAUAGCAAGCCAAAUUAGAAGACUAGUCCAAGAAUUCGAAUAUCUAAGUAAUAGGAGUUCCAGAGAGAGGGAGAGAAAAAAACAAAAACAAAAACAGAAAACGGAAAACAGAAAAGAGGUAAUCACAAAUGAAAUUACCGUACUCGCUCCUAAUCCGUGAAGGUACGUUCCAAGACCCCAGUGGAUGUCUGAAACCACAGAUCAUGGUCCUCCGAGAAGCAGACACCAAAACAGAAUUUGAUGUGCAAGAAAUUUACUGGGGAAAAUGCCUAUGAAAGAUAAAGGAGGAAGAAGCAGGAGUGGAUGGGGAGAGCCUUCACACAAACGAGGUGAGGCAGGUCUGACUCAUGUGAAAGGAGAGCAGGAAGGAAGAAUAUCAGCCUGCAGGGCAGUUUGGAGAAAGUCUCCUCCAGGUCCAGAAAGAACCUCCGAAGCCUGCAUGGCCUGUCGGAGGAGUCCCACAAGACUCACAAUAUUGACCUGUUCAGUGAUGUUGAGGGAAGACUGGCCAUAAAAAUUCAGAUCAUGGCCUGGGAAGUCCUAUCAUAACACCCGGAAGGAAGACAAACUGAGACAAACAACAUGCCCAGUGGUGCAGUUUCUGUGUGCUUUUAAACACCUGCAUGAAGAAAUCUUGUGUGCUGACUGUCUUCACUAGGAACCUGAAAUGACAGUUCUAUCUUAAAUG